UACGAAGGGAGCUAGCGUUGUUCGGAAUCACUGGGCGUAAAGCGCACGUAGGCGGAUUUGCCAGUCAGGGGUGAAAUCCCGGGGCUCAACCUCGGAACUGCCUUUGAUACUGCGGGUCUUGAGUCCGAUAGAGGUGGGUGGAAUUCCUAGUGUAGAGGUGAAAUUCGUAGAUAUUAGGAAGAACACCGGUGGCGAAGGCGGCCCACUGGAUCGGUACUGACGCUGAGGUGCGAAAGCGUGGGGAGCAAACAGG
rnacentral:rRNA from 1 species